AAUUUUUAACUUAGAUACAUUUUCCUGAAUUUCUCUCUGAUGAUAGUGAAAUAGGGGAUUAAGUCCAUCCACUUCUCCACAAAAACUGCUUAACAGAAUUGAUUAAGCUUAUACAUGUUUCAUUUAAACUCGAAAGGUGUGUAUGUCAUAGUUGCAUAGAUGUUUAUUGAACUUGUUCGUGAAUUUUGUUCAAUUAUUGAUCUUUAUAUGAUAAUACGUUGUGUUAUCUAACCCGUCAACAAUUUUCAAAACUUUGUCUGAAAUGAAUGAAUAUAUAUGAACUUCUUUUGUGUUUUCUCUCUUGAUAUUUUCCUGAUUAUUAAAGAUGUGAUUGUCAAUCCAUGAAUGUGUCAUUUUUUUGUGGUAACGAAAUGAACACCUGCAGUGGCACUCCUGGCAGCCAACUUCCUCGUAGUGAGUGCCGGUAACAUGAACAGCAAGACCAACAUUACAAGAUUGCCGACUUGUGUGGAUGAUUGCUGUUACGACUAUCUGCUGUGUCUGAUCCUGAGUUGUGUGCCUCAUCACAGUGUUGCAAGACGAUUAUUGUUAUACUGAUCAUGCCGAAGGUCAGAAGGAAGGGUCGGCGAGCCAGACUGGCUCAAAUGAAGGAGUACCAUCAAGAGAAAACUUCAGCUGAGCG